rnacentral:rRNA from 1 species
UAACGGCUACCACAUCCAAGGAAGGCAGCAGGCGCGCAAAUUACCCACUCCCAGAACGGGGAGGUAGUGACCAAAAAUAACAAUACGGGACUCUUUUGAGACCCCGUAAUUCGGCAAUGAGUACACUCUAAAUCCUUUAACGAGGAUCCAUUGGAGGGCAACGUCUGGUGCCAUGCAGCGUGCAGGUAAUUCCAGCUCCAAUAGCAGUAUAUUAAAGUUGUUGCGGUUAAAAAGCUCGUAGUUGGAUCUCAGUUCCAGACGGGUGGUCCGCCUACCGGUGGUUACUGCCUGUUCUGAACAGCCAGCCGGUUUCUCUUGAUGAUCUUCACCGGUUGUCUUGGGUGACCGGCCAAGUUUACUUUGAAAAAAUUAGAGUGCUCAAAGCAGGCGUGACGCCUGAAUAAUGGUGCAUGGAAUAAUGGAAUAGGACCUCGGUUCUAUUUUGUUGGUUUUCGGAACACGAGGUAAUGAUUAAGAGGGACAGACGGGGGCAUUCGUAUUGCGACGCUAGAGGUGAAAUUCUUGGACCGUCGCAAGACGAACUACUGCGAAAGCAUUUGCCAAGAAUGUUUCCAUUAAUCAAGAACGAAAGUUAGAGGUUCGAAGGCGAUCAGAUACCGCCCUAGUUCUAACCAUAAACGAUGCCAGCCAGCGAUCCGGCUGUGUUCCUCAAAUGACACGCCGGGCAGCUUCCGGGAAACCAAAGCCUUUGGGUUCCGGNGGAAGUAUGGUUGCAAGC